CUGAGGGCUUAUAGUCAGGUGCCUCAUUCACUUUUGAUGAUAAAGUGUAACACUCGGGUGCCUCGUCACUUGGGUCGUCCAAUUUCUUGGCAAGUGCAGUCUACGAGGACUUGAAAAUGGGUGCCUCGUCACUUGGGUCGUCCAAUAUUUUGGCAAGUGUAAUCUACGAGGACUUGAAAUCGGGUGCCUCGUCACUUGAGUCAUCCAAUUUCUUGGCAAGUGCAGUCUACGAGGACUUGAAAUCGGGUGCCUCGUCACUUGGGUCGUCCAAUUUCUUGGCAAGUGCAGUCUAAGAGGACUUAACCACUGUUUAGAGUGGACCACCAUCUUGGGUGGGUUUUUUUUUUCGUCAAUUCUUGUGCCUCCUCCCUUGGUCAUCCAAUUUACUUGGCAAAGGAUAUUCCAGAGGACUUAAACCUACAUUUUUGGUGGACCACCAUCUUGGGUGGAUUUUUAAUUCAUCUGUAGUUCAAAGUUUGUUCGAUGGUACGUAGAGCCAAUAUUUUAGUUCUUGACUUACAGGACUGCACCAUGGGUGAUGGUGUUGCACGUUUCUUCUCCUAGUUCAAUCUCCCCAGCCGCCAGUUUCUCAUGGUAUAUCCUCCGUAGACUGUAACAGUCCAUAGUGGAAUGCCCUGCGUAUUGGUGGUAUACACAGAAGUCUG
rnacentral:lncRNA from 1 species